rnacentral:rRNA from 1 species
AGAACGAACGCUGGCGGCAUGCCUAAUACAUGCAAGUCGAACGAACUCUUCGGAGUUAGUGGCGCACGGGUGCGUAACGCGUGGGAAUCUGCCCUUGGGUUCGGAAUAACAGUUGGAAACGACUGCUAAUACCGGAUGAUGACGAAAGUCCAAAGAUUUAUCGCCCAGGGAUGAGCCCGCGUAGGAUUAGCUAGUUGGUGAGGUAAAGGCUCACCAAGGCGACGAUCCUUAGCUGGUCUGAGAGGAUGAUCAGCCACACUGGGACUGAGACACGGCCCAGACUCCUACGGGAGCAGCAGUAGGGAAUAUUGGACAAUGGGCGAAAGCCUGAUCCAGCAAUGCCGCGUGAGUGAUGAAGGCCUUA